UACGAAGGGGGCUAGCGUUGCUCGGAUUUACUGGGCGUAAAGGGCGCGUAGGCGGCCACCGCAAGUCGACUGUGAAAUCUCCGGGCUUAACCCGGAACGGUCAGCCGAUACUGCGGGGCUAGAGUGCAGAAGGGGCAACUGGAAUUCUCGGUGUAGCGGUGAAAUGCGUAGAUAUCGAGAGGAACACCUGCGGCGAAGGCGGGUUGCUGGACCAUAACUGACGCUGAUGCACGAAAGCUAGGGGAGCAAACAGG
rnacentral:rRNA from 1 species